GAUGAACGCUGGCGGCGUGCCUAAUACAUGCAAGUCGAGCGAACAGACGAGGAGCUUGCUCCUUUGACGUUAGCGGCGGGCGGGUGAGUAACACGUAGGUAACCUACCUAUAAGACUGGGAUAACUUCGGGAAACCGGAGCUAGUACCGGAUAAUAUUUCGAACCGCAUGGUUCGAUAGUGAAAGAUGGCUUUGCUAUCACUUAUAGAUGGACCUGCGCCGUAUUAGCUAGUUGGUAAGGUAACGGCUUACCAAGGCAACGAUACGUAGCCGACCUGAGAGGGUGAUCGGCCACACUGGAACUGAGACACGGUCCAGACUCCUACGGGAGGCAGCAGUAGGGAAUCUUCCGCAAUGGGCGAAAGCCUGACGGAGCAACGCCGCGUGAGUGAUGAAGGUCUUCGGAUCGUAAAACUCUGUUAUUAGGGAAGAACAAACGUGUAAGUAACUGUGCACGUCUUGACGGUACCUAAUCAGAAAGCCACGGCUAACUACGUG
rnacentral:rRNA from 1 species